rnacentral:snoRNA from 1 species
CCUCUUUCUAGGUCGCACCUGAAAAGUUUCCAGAACUCUACCAGUCUUGACUAUGGGAGGGAGAGUCAAGCAGAGGCAUAUCCAUUCCAUUCCUAGCUUGGGCAGUGGCUAGCAAGUGGAAGGCAAUCUGCUACAAGU